GAAAUGCGAUAAGUAGUGUGAAUUGCAGAAUUCAGUGAAUCAUCGAAUCUUCGAACGCACAUUGCGCCCCUUGGUAUUCCAUGGGGCAUGCCUGUUCGAGCGUCAUUUGUACCCUCAAGCUCUGCUUGGUGUUGGGUGUUUGUCCCGUCUCCGCGCGUGGACUCGCCCCAAAGUGAUUGGCAGCCGGCGUACUGGUCCCGGAGCGCAGCACAUUUCGCGCAAACGAGUGCCUUGGUACGGCGGCGUCCAUAAGCCCCUCUCUCACGCUCUUGACCUCGGACCAGGUAGGGAUACCCGCUGAACUUAAGC
rnacentral:misc_RNA from 1 species